rnacentral:tRNA from 1 species
AAAGGGAGACCUAAUUCAGGUAAGAGACGAAAAAAAAGUAGUCGCUACCAAGAAUCAAUCCCAAAAGGUCGGAGCGAGGCGAAAUUGGCUUUCAAACUAGGUUCUGGGUUCAAACAAGACCUGAAUCAGGAACAAGGGCUAUUAGCUCAGGUGGUUAGAGCGCACCCCUGAUAAGGGUGAGGUCCCUGGUUCGAGUCCAGGAUGGCCCACCUGCACAGGUGGCAAAAACAAGAGAAGCGAGGAAUCAGCACCUUAUCUUACUGACAUAGUAAGAGAGAAUGCUGGCUCUGAGUAAAGAGUCCAGAGGAACCUUGAAAACUGCAUAGAGCUAGGUGAAAAAGCCAAAAAAAGAAGACCGCAAG